rnacentral:rRNA from 1 species
AUUGAACGCUGGCGGCAUGCCUUACACAUGCAAGUCGAACGGCAGCACGGGAGCAAUCCUGGUGGCGAGUGGCGAACGGGUGAGUAAUAUAUCGGAACGUGCCCAGUCGUGGGGGAUAACGCAGCGAAAGCUGUGCUAAUACCGCAUACGAUCUACGGAUGAACGCGGGGGAUCGCAAGACCUCGCGCGAUUGGAGCGGCCGAUAUCAGAUUAGCUAGUUGGUGAGGUAAAGGCUCACCAAGGCGACGAUCUGUAGCUGGUCUGAGAGGACGACCAGCCACACUGGAACUGAGACACGGUCCAGACUCCUACGGGAGGCAGCAGUGGGGAAUUUUAGACAAUGGGCGCAAGCCUGAUCCAGCAAUGCCGCGUGCAGGAUGAAGGCCUUCGGGUUGUAAACUGCUUUUGUACGGAACGAAACGGCGAGCUUUAAUACAGUUUGCUAAUGACGGUACCGUAAGAAUAAGCACCGGCUAACUACGUGCCAGCAGCCGCCGUAAUAC